rnacentral:sRNA from 1 species
UCAUGAGUUGGUCCUUGAACCCCCGGAAUUUAAUUCUCUACCUUUAUGCUCUUUUAUUUCUCUCUUCAACAUGUGUGGCAUAUGUUGCUACCAGAGACAACUGCUGCAUCUUAGAUGAAAGAUUCGGUAGUUAUUGUCCAACUACCUGUGGCAUUGCAGAUUUCCUGUCUACUUAUCAAACCAAAGUAGACAAGGAUCUACUGUCUUUGGAAGACAUCUUACAUCAAGUUGAAAACAAAACAUCAGAAGUCAAAGAGCUGAUAAAAGCAAUCCAACUCAGUUAUAAUCCUGAUGAACCAUCAAAACCAAGUGAGAAAAUAAAGACUACUGACCAAAAACUACUAAUAAUAAUCU